UUCGAUUUUGGUUUCGUUUCUCAUAAUCCCCACCACUAUCUGGAUGGCUUUUAGUAACCAGCUAGCUUUUCAGCUUCUUUUUUUUUUUUUUUUUCCGGCUUCAGAACAUAAAAGUUGGUUUCCGGAGAAGCGAGACGCAGGAAGAGCCCUAGGGCGAACCAGAGCAACUGACUUGACGCCCGGCUGCAGCUCCAGCUUCCCAUGGCAUCUGGAUCCACCAUAAUGGACCCCAUCUGUCUGGUAAGAAACCAGAACAACCAGCUGACAGUAAAUCCCAGAGCACUGAAGAUUCUGGAGCAGAUAUCUCAGCCUGUGGUGGUGGUGGCCAUCGCAGGGCUGUAUCGGACCGGAAAGUCCUACCUGAUGAACCGCCUGGCAGGACAGAACCAUGGUUUCCAUCUGGGCUCCACAGUGCAGUCUGAAACCAAGGGAAUCUGGAUGUGGUGUGUGCCCCACCCCUCCAAGGAGAACCACACUUUGGUCCUUCUGGACACCGAGGGUCUGGGUGAUAUGGAGAAGGGGGACUCCAAAAAUGACUCGUGGAUCUUUGCCCUGGCCGUGCUCCUGAGCAGCACCUUUAUCUACAACAGCAUGAGCACCAUCAACCACCAGGCCCUGGAGCAGCUGCACUAUGUGACUGAAUUAACGGAGCUGAUCAGAAUCAAAUCAUCUCCCAUCUCCGAUGAUGUAGAGGACUCAGUCGAGUUUGUGAGAUUCUUUCCAGACUUUGUCUGGGCUGUGCGGGAUUUCAUGCUGGAGCUGGAGUUAAAUGGAAACCCCAUCACUGAAGACGAGUACCUGGAGAAUGCCUUGAAGUUGAUUCCAGAUGCAAAUCCCCAAAUUCAAAAUUCCAACUUACCCAGAGAGUGUAUCAGGAAGUUCUUUCCCAAACGGAAGUGUUUCGUCUUUGACCGCCCUGCAAGUAACAGAAGACAAUUACUCCAUCUUGAGGAAAUACCAGAGAACCAACUGGAUGGGAAUUUCCAGAAGCAAUCAAAAGUUUUCUGCUCCUAUAUCUAUACCCAUGCAAAGGCCAAGAGCUUAAAAGAGGGAAUCACUGUCACUGGGACAAGGCUGGGAACUCUGGUGGAGGCCUACGUGUAUGCCAUCAACAGUGGAUCAGUUCCUUGUCUGGAGAACGCGGUGUCAAUUCUGGCCCAGCGUGAGAACUCAGCAGCUGUGGAGAAGGCAGCUGACCACUACAGUGAGCAGAUGACCAAGCGACUGAACCUCCCCACAGACACGCUCCAGGAGCUGCUGGAGGCGCACGUAGCCUGUGAGAAGGAAGCCAUUGCAGUCUUCAUGGAGCACUCCUUCAAGGAUGAAAAGAAGGAUUUCCAGAAGAAACUUCUGGUCAUGAUCAAGAAAAAGAAAGAAACUUUCAUGCUGCAAGAUGAAGAAGCAUCUGUCAAGUAUUGUCAGGCUGAGCUUAAGAAGCUUUCAGACCCCUUGAUGAAGAGUAUUUCAAAAGGAACUUUCUCUGUCCCUGGAGGACACCGUCGCUACUUAGAAGCAAGGAGCAGGUUUGAAGAGAACUAUAAACUCAUUCCCAGGAAAGGAGUUAAGGCAAACCAGGUCCUCCAGAGCUUCCUGCAGUCACAGGCAGAAGUAGAGGCAGCCAUCCUGCAGGCAGACCAGGCCCUCACUGAUGCGGCCAAGGCCAUGGCAGAGGAACGUACCAAAAGACAAGCAGCAGAGAUGAAACAGGAUCUGCUAAAACAGGAACUGAAUGAUAAGAAUAAAAAAUUGGAGGCCCAAGAGAGAAGCCACGUGGUGCAAAUAGAACAACUCCAUGUGGACUUUCAAAAGAUAUCUGAUGAAUUACGUAUUGAGAUAAUGACGAGACGACAACAAGAAACUAUAAGAAAUGAAAAUACGUGCUUACUACUUUAAGGAUCCUGGCAGGUUUUACCUUUGUGUUAAUGUCCGUAUGAAGUGGCUUUUCUUCACAAUGUGCAUAGGGAUGAUGCAUCUCAUGUGAAUUAUUAAAGGAGCCCAGUGGUGUACAGUCAAAGGGGUUGCGAAGACUUGGAAACCAUUCAGCAAUUAAAACACCAACAACAACGGAAAGGACUUGGGUGGAAAGUACAUGCACACCCGUCUGUACCUGUGCUCUUCUCUGGGAGGGACUGGACACCCCACAUGCUCUGGGUUCCUCGAACUUCUCUGCAAGAAAACUAUCCAGCAAUGAGGCCAUCACCUUUGACCCACGAACAAUGAUACUGUAAUUGGCGAUACUCCAGUUGUCAUCAUAAAGCAGCUGUUCAAGGAGCUUCUGUUGAAAUAAAGCUAUACUUUUCAUAGGA